rnacentral:tRNA from 1 species
GUGGGUGUAGCUCAACGGUUAGAGCGCUUGGCUGUGGCCCAGGAGGCUGCCGGUUCAAGUCCGGUCACCCACCCCA